AUGAACGCUGGCGGCGUGCCUAAUACAUGCAAGUCGAGCGAACAGACGAGGAGCUUGCUCCUCUGACGUUAGCGGCGGACGGGUGAGUAACACGUGGAUAACCUACCUAUAAGACUGGGAUAACUUCGGGAAACCGGAGCUAAUACCGGAUAAUAUAUUGAACCGCAUGGUUCAAUAGUGAAAGACGGUUUUGCUGUCACUUAUAGAUGGAUCCGCGCCGCAUUAGCUAGUUGGUAAGGUAACGGCUUACCAAGGCGACGAUGCGUAGCCGACCUGAGAGGGGGAGCGGCCACACUGGAGAGGAGACCGGGCCCAGCCCCAUAGGGGGGGCAGAGGGAGGAAUUCUUCCGAAAGGGGCGAAGGCUGGAGGGCGAAACGCGGGGGGAGGGGUAAGGGUCUGCGGAUCGAAAAACUUUGUUAUGGGGAAAAAAAAAAUUUGAAAGUAAAUAUGCCCGUCUUGACGGUACAUAAUAAAAAGCCCGGGGCAAACUACGUC
rnacentral:rRNA from 1 species